GACGAACGCUGGCGGCGUGCCUAACACAUGCAAGUCGAGCGAACAGACGAGGCGUUUGCUCCUCUCUCGUUUGCGGCGGACGGGAGAGACACACGUGGAUCACCCCCCUAUCUGUCUGGUAUCUUCUCGGAAAUCCGGCUCUUAUACCGUAUAAUCUAUUGCUCCGCAUGGUUCAAUAGUGAGUGACGGCUUUGCUGUCUCUUAUCGCUGCUUACGCGCUGCAUUAGCUAGUUGGUAAGGUCAAGGCUUAUCAAGGCAAGGAUGCGUAGACGAACUGCCAGAGUGAUAGGCCGCACUAGAAGUGAGACACGGACAAGACGCCUACGAGAGGCAGCAGUAGGGAAUCUUACGCAAUGGGCGAAAGCAUGACGGAGCAACGCCGCGUGAGUGAUGAAGGUCUUCGGAUCGUAAAAAUCUGUUAUUAGGGAAGAACAAAUGUGUAAGGAACUAUACACGUAUUGACGGUACCGGGUCAGGAAGCAACGGCUAACUACGUG
rnacentral:rRNA from 1 species